CCUACGGGUGGCAGCAGUGGGGAAUAUUGGACAAUGGGCGAAAGCCUGAUCCAGCCAUGCCGCGUGUGUGAAGAAGGCCUUCGGGUUGUAAAGCACUUUCAGUGGGGAAGAAAGCCUUGGGGCUAAUACCCUCGAGGAAGGACAUCACCCACAGAAGAAGCACCGGCUAACUCCGUGCCAGCAGCCGCGGUAAUACGGAGGGUGCGAGCGUUAAUCGGAAUUACUGGGCGUAAAGCGCGCGUAGGCGGUCUGAUAAGCCGGUUGUGAAAGCCCCGGGCUCAACCUGGGAACGGCAUCCGGAACUGUCAGGCUAGAGUGCAGGAGAGGAAGGUAGAAUUCCCGGUGUAGCGGUGAAAUGCGUAGAGAUCAGGAGGAAUACCAGUGGCGAAGGCGGCCUUCUGGACUGACACUGACGCUGAGGUGCGAAAGCGUGGGUAGCAAACAGGAUUAGAUACCCCAGUAGUC
rnacentral:rRNA from 1 species